rnacentral:rRNA from 1 species
AACGAACGCUGGCGGCAUGCCUAACACAUGCAAGUCGAACGAAGCCUUCGGGCUUAGUGGCGCACGGGUGCGUAACACGUGGGAAUCUGCCCUUAGGUACGGAAUAACUCAGGGAAACUUGAGCUAAUACCGUAUGAUGUCUUCGGACCAAAGAUUUAUCGCCUAAGGAUGAGCCCGCGUCGGAUUAGCUAGUUGGUGGGGGUAAAGGCCUACCAAGGCGACGAUCCGCAGCUGGUCUGAGAGGAUGAUCAGCCACACUGGGACUGAGACACGGCCCAGACUCCUACGGGAGGCAGCAGUGGGGAAUAUUGGACAAUGGGCGAAAGCCUGAUCCAGCAAUGCCGCGUGAGUGAAGAAGGCCUUCGGGUUGUAAAGCUCUUUUACCCGGGAAGAUAAUGACUGUACCGGGAGAAUAAGCCCCGGCUAACUCCGUGCCAGCAGCCGCAGUAA